rnacentral:lncRNA from 1 species
UAUGAGGUUCAAAUCCGGGAUGAAGUAACCAGAGGUCAGCCCGAGUUACUGUUCAUCUGGAUAAAGAAAGAUAAAAAAAUAGGUGUUGGGUCGACUCAAAGUAAACCGGAGUCGACUCAGGGCUGAGUGGGGUCAACCCAAGUCUGGUAGGGUCGACUCUCUCAGGAAAUUCCAUAGAAUGGAGAUUUUUGGCUCUGUGCUUGGGGUCGACUCAGGGUAAGCUAGGGUCGACCCAAGCGGGGGUCGACUCUCAAAGUUGGGGUCGACCCAAGGUUUAGUAAAAUUUUGGAUUAGAAGGGAUUUGAUCCUUUCGCACACCUUGACCCUAUAGCAUUGAUCCAAGGUGUGUAUGGGAUACUCUUGCAUCAUGAUUCAUGUAAAUUGAGGAUUAAUUAAUAAGAAUAAGGGAAAAAGAAAGAUGUUAAUUAAGCGGGGGUCGUGACAAAGCUUGGUAUCAGAGCAAAGGUUAAGAAGAGUCCUGUCAGAGCAACAGGGUGAAUCAGGAUUAAGUAUAGGAUUAUACUAUGGAGCAUAGGAUUUUCUGUAUGUUAUUUUAUGAGUCAUUUACAAUUCAGUAAAAUAUAUUUGGGGAUGAGACUUAAGAGUUCUUUUUUUUUGGCUCUACUUAAGACGUAGAAUUUUAUAUCAUUUCAGUUUACAAUCAAGAUUUGUAUUUUGAUAGAAAGUCAAUUAAUAAAUUCAGAGAAUAUUGAUCAGAGUUGUGCAGCGAAAGUAUGGUGGAUCGAGUCAAUUUAAAUUGGUCAAAAAUAUUGACU